AUUGAACGCUGGCGGCAGGCCUCACACAUGCAAGUCGAACGAGUGGCGGACGGGUGAGUAAUGUCUGGGAAACUGCCUGAUGGAGGGGGAUAACUACUGGAAACGGUAGCUAAUACCGCAUACCAUCAGAUGUGCCCAGAUGGGAUUAGCUUGUUGGGGGGGUAACGGCUCACCAAGGCGCCGAUCCCUAGCUGUGCUGAUAGGAUGACCAGCCACACUGGAAACGAGACACGGUCCAGACCCCUACGGGAGUCAGCAGUGGGGAAUAUUGCACAAUGGGCGCAAUCCUGAUGCAGCCAUGCCGCGUGUAUGAAGAAGGCCUUCGGGUUGUAAAGUACUUUCAGCGGGGAGGCGUUACCCGCAGAAGAAGCACCGGCUAACUCCGUGCCAGCAGCCGCGGUAAUAC
rnacentral:rRNA from 1 species